rnacentral:tRNA from 1 species
AUCUUGGUAUUUUAAAGGCUUAGAACUAGCAUUCAUGGAAUGCUAGAGACCUGGGUUCGAUUCCUGGCCGAGGUA